UACGUAGGGUGCGAGCGUUGUCCGGAAUUAUUGGGCGUAAAGGGCUCGUAGGCGGUUUGUCGCGUCGGGAAGUGAAAACUCAGGGCUUAACCCUGAGCCUGCUUCCGAUACGGGCAGACUAGAGGUAUGCAGGGGAGAACGGAAUUCCUGGUGUAGCGGUGAAAUGCGCAGAUAUCAGGAGGAACACCGAUGGCGAAGGCAGGUCUCUGGGCAUUAACUGACGCUGAGGAGCGAAAGCAUGGGGAGCGAACAGG
rnacentral:rRNA from 1 species